UACACUCCUGCGGGAGGCAGCAGAGGGGAAUAUUGGACAAUGGGCGCAAGCCUGAUCCAGCCAUGCCGCGUGAGUGAUGAAGGCCCUAGGGUUGUAAAGCUCUUUCACCGGUGAAGAUAAUGACGGUAACCGGAGAAGAAGCACCGGCUAACUUCGUGCCAGCAGCCGCGGUAAUACGAAGGGGGCUAGCGUUGUUCGGAUUUACUGGGCGUAAAGCGCACGUAGGCGGACUAUUAAGUCAGGGGUGAAAUCCCGGGGCUCAACCCCGGAACUGCCUUUGAUACUGGUAGUCUUGAGUUCGAGAGAGGUGAGUGGAAUUCCGAGUGUAGAGGUGAAAUUCGUAGAUAUUCGGAGGAACACCAGUGGCGAAGGCGGCUCACUGGCUCGAUACUGACGCUGAGGUGCGAAAGCGUGGGGAGCAAACAGGAUUAGAUACCCGAGUAGUCCCAUGA
rnacentral:rRNA from 1 species